GAAUAUUGCGCAAUGGGCGAAAGCCUGACGCAGCGACGCCGCGUGAGGGAUGAAGGCCUUCGGGUUGUAAACCUCUUUCAGCAGGGACGAAGCGAGAGUGACGGUACCUGCAGAAGAAGCACCGGCCAACUACGUGCCAGCAGCCGCGGUAAGACGUAGGGUGCAAGCGUUGUCCGGUAUUAUUGGGCGUAAAGAGCUCGUAGGCGGUCGGUCGCGUCGGCUGUGAAAUCUCGGGGCUCAACCCCGAGCCUGCAGUCGAUACGGGCAGACUAGAGUGCUGUAGGGGAGACUGGAAUUCCUGGUGUAGCGGUGAAAUGCGCAGAUAUCAGGAGGAACACCGGUGGCGAAGGCGGGUCUCUGGGCAGUAACUGACGCUGAGGAGCGAAAGCGUGGGGAGCAAACAAG
rnacentral:rRNA from 1 species